ensembl:misc_RNA Metazoa_SRP Metazoan signal recognition particle RNA
GCAGGGCGCAGUGGCGAGUGCCUAUAGUCCCAGCUAAUCAGGAGGCUGAGGUGGGAGGAUCACUUGAGUCCAGGAGUUCUGGGCUGUAGUGUGCUGUGCUAAUCGGGUGUCUGCACUAAGUUCAGCAUCAAUAUGGUGACCUCCUGGAAGAGGGGCACCACCAGGUUGCCUAAGGAGGAGUGAACCAGCCCAGGUCAGGAACGGAGCAGGUCAAAACUCCUGUGCUGAUCAGUAAUGGGAUCAUGCCUUGGUGAACAGCCACUGCACUCCAGCCUGGGCAACAUAGCAAGACCCUGUCUCUG